GAUGAACGCUGGCGGCGUGCCUAAUACAUGCAAGUCGAGCGAACGGACGAGAAGCUUGCUUCUCUGAUGUUAGCGGCGGACGGGUGAGUAACACGUGGAUAACCUACCUAUAAGACUGGGAUAACUUCGGGAAACCGUAGCUAAUACCGGAUAAUAUUUUGAACCGCAUGGUUCAAAAGUGAAAGACGGUCUUGCUGUCACUUAUAGAUGGAUCCGCGCUGCAUUAGCUAGUUGGUAAGGUAACGGCUUACCAAGGCAACGAUGCAUAGCCGACCUGAGAGGGUGAUCGGCCACACUGGAACUGAGACACGGUCCAGACUCCUACGGGAGGCAGCAGUAGGGAAUCUUCCGCAAUGGGCGAAAGCCUGACGGAGCAACGCCGCGUGAGUGAUGAAGGUCUGCGGAUCGUAAAACUCUGUUAUUAGGGAAGAACAUAUGUGUAAGUAACUGUGCACAUCUGGACGGUACCUAAUCAGAAAGCCACGGCUAACUACGU
rnacentral:rRNA from 1 species